UUUCAAACACACCUACAGAUGCUACAGACAGACAGUUAGACUGCAACAUUCAAAGGAGAAUCUUCAAUAAAAAUAAUCCACUAACCAGUGUCCUGCAAGACUUAUAAUGAGGCUAUAAGGAAGAAGUAUUCCUACUUGCAUCCUGGAAAGGUAGAGCUGAGACAAUCAAGACUGUGGCAAAGAGAGAGAAGAUAGCUGAAGACCAGGUCAGCAGAGACAAGCACAGGAGGAUUGUGUGGAUUAUUGUGUAUUGUGUGGACAUGAUGUCUGAUGAAGAAGAUGGUGUUGUCUAUGGGAAGCCAGUGCUGGUUGUAAAACCAGCAGCUUUGAGAAGCUCUAUUCCAGAAGUUACAGAAGAGACUUGAUGCAGACCCACACUGUACUGGGAAAUGAUCACUUUUGUUUGAUGGCAAGUGACAU